GCUCCACCUUGGCUCAGUCAGUAGAGCAUGAGACUCUUAAUCUCAAGGUCAUGGGUUUGAGCCCCACAUUGGGCA